ACCAACACGAGGUGUUGGAACGGUUCAAACUGACCUUAGCUUCAAUCAUUCACCUUUGAUUCUCUGGUCUGAUUGAGCCGCGCCAAUAUCGCGUGCCUUUUC
rfam:Vigna angularis cultivar Jingnong 6 chromosome 5, whole genome shotgun sequence.